rnacentral:rRNA from 1 species
CUGGUGCUCAUGAAAAGAAUUUAAGUUCCGCCUUAUGAUUACUUACUACACUUUAAAGUAAAAAGCAAUCUUAAGAGUAAUUCAAUUGGGGUACAGCCCAAUUGAAAAAGGAAACAACCUUAACCUUUAGGUAAAGACUAUAAAACGUAAGGAUCUUGCCAGAGUGGGCCUAAGAGCAGCCACCUCAACAGAAAGCGUCACAGCUCAUGCAAAACCCAACCAACAAUACCAUUAUAUACUAUCUGAACCUAUAAAUAAUAUUGAGCCUCUCUAUAACCCUAUAGAACAGUUUAUGCUAGAACUAGUAACAUGAAAUUAUUCUCCGAAUGCAAGUGUAAAUCAGAUCGAAAAACUCACUGAUACUUAACGAACCCGUGAGGAAAUUGUAGUAACCCACCAAGAAAACUCUACAAAACUCCCAACCGUUAACCUAACACAAGAGCAUAAAAGAAAGAUUAAAAGACAUACAAGGAACUCGGCAAACAUGAACUUCGCCUGU